UUUACUGUUUGGUGGAAGCAGCUGUAAAAGGACAAAAGAGAAAUGUUGCACUGUUAAUUGGACAAAAAGGUUAUUUCUGUUUUAUGCAAAACUGAGAUAUUUUAAGAUGUUUUAACUUGUUAACAGCAAACUAACAUUAUUUAUCAUGUCGUUUUUUCAUGUCGAGAGUUGGGGCCUUUUUUUCUGACUGACGGCCGGAUUAACGCUGGCAUAACGGUGAUAACAUCGACUGUUUGUGGUCUUGUGGUCAUGUCGUCUGCAUUGGAGGAGUAUUGGAGUCUUUUCCUGUGAUUGCCGUCGUAACAACAGAUUUCUCCAAGCAAAAACAGGAUCUUGGAUAUGAGGGCAGAAUCAUCAUACAGCCAGCUGUCCAUUUUACAGAAAUGCAGAAUUAGGACCCUAUGCUUGCCCACCACUCCCCUGCUCUAGCUGCUUCCCUGGUGAGCACAUCAGCACCAUCUGCCUACAAAAAGCCCUCGAUGCAUCUGAAAGUGUUCCUGCCCUUCACCUCCUUACACCUGC